rnacentral:lncRNA from 10 species
GUGAUCCUCCUGCCUCAGCCUCCCAAGUAGCUGGGACAACAGGUGCGAACCACCAUGCCUAUUUUUUUUUUUUUUUUUUUUAGACAGGGUCCCACUGUGUUGCCAGGCUGAUCUCAAACUCCUGGGCUCAAGCAAUCUUCCUGCCUCGGCCUCCAAAGUGCUGGCCUUAACUUUUUAAUGUGGCAGAACAUUUCUCCAUAACUUUGUUUUCCACUCCACUUUAAUUCACUGCAUAACAUCCCAAGCUCAAACAGCCUCUUGGUGUUAGAUGCCUAGGUUAUUGGUUUCUGUUACCAUACUAAUGCUGUGAGCAACAUCUUUGUACCAAUCUGGUAUUUCUAUCUUCUGGGCCAGAAGGCAGAGCAGUACAUUUCAGGAAAGCUCUGCAGGGCCGGUCAGGACAGGGCCUUGUAGGCCAGGAAAGGAUUUGGCUCUUGGUACUAAGUGCAGUGAGCAGCCACUGAAGAAGGUGGACGAGUCUCAUUUCAGGUGUUUAUUUGUAAAUGAUCUCUGACUCUACGAUGAAGAAAAAAAUGGGCUGGCUUGGUGACAUGAAGGGUGGACAUUAAAGAGCAAAGUGGAUGGCCAAAGGUUCAGGAGGCCACCAGGAGCCGGUGCCCUCGGUCUAAGGCAUAAUCAACUGGCAGGAUAGAUGGCAUCACCAGGCGCUUAUCUGAGAACACUGCAGAAGGGCCAGAUGCGUCUGGGGUUUUUUUUCUGAUGGGGGUUUGGGGGAGAUCACUCAUUCGUCUUGGCUAUGCUGAGCUUGAGGCACCUCUGAGACACCGUGGAGAUGUCAGAGAGGUAGGGACAUCAGAGUCUGGACUAGAGCUGCAGAGCCAGGAGUUACUGAUGUGAGGAUGGCAGCAGAAGGCAGAGGCCUGGCUCACAUCACCUAGGAGGGCCUGGGUGGUGAGGCCUGGGCCCAGAAAACUAGCACUGCUCCAUUAUGACCGGCAGAGGCCACAGUAACUGCAAAGUAUCCACAGAACCCCAUGUGUAUCAGCAACCCCGAUGGAUAGAGAAGAGCUGUACAUGUGAACUGGAAGCCAGUGUCGGUGGCCCAGCUGCUUAGGUCCAGAUGCUUGGUUUGUCUCAGGAGCCAGGAGUCAGCGGCACGGACCACAGUGCCGCACAGCUUGAGCACCCUCACGUGGGGGAUCCCCGCCCGCCAGCCUCCUACUGUAAGCAUUUCCAUAUGGAAAUGGAAGAGGGAGUGUUGUGGGGAAAUGAAGAAAGGGAGCUGCAGUGUCUAGAGCAGUUAAUUGGGAGAAAAUGAGAAGAAAAGCGCUAGGGCAGCGUCAAGGCAGUACCCUGACAUAAAUCCAGGCUUUUCCAUCAUGAUCCUGAUGGCUGUAAUAUGGAAAGUGGCCCCUUUCUAGUCAUUUUGCUGGAGAUCAACUAGAAUACCUGAACUAGAAGUUAUGUGCACGGAGGAUUCCAGCAACUCCAUUUUAAUAGAAAAAACUGGAAACUAAACAAGUGACAAUGAACAAACGAACGAUAGUGAAUUUAUACAAUCAGUUUCUUACAGCAGUAAAAAACUCCAGCUACCUGCAGAAAAAACCACGCAUAAAAUCCGUAACAAAGCCAGGAAGCCAUGCUGUCGAAGCAGGAUUUUAUUUC